rnacentral:piRNA from 1 species
UCACAGUAAAUUUUAUUGUGUCAAAAUCCC